AACGAACGCUGGCGGCAUGCCUAACACAUGCAAGUCGAACGAGACCUUCGGGUCUAGUGGCGCACGGGUGCGUAACGCGUGGGAACCUGCCCUGAGGUUCGGAAUAACAGUUAGAAAUGACUGCUAAUACCGGAUAAUGUCUUCGGACCAAAGAUUUAUUGCCUUGGGGUGGGCCCGCGUAGGAUUAGCUAGUUGGUGGG
rnacentral:rRNA from 1 species